AGUGAACGCUGGCGGCAGGCCUAACACAUGCAAGUCGAACGGCAGCACAGCAGAGCUUUCUCUUUACGGGGCGCGUGUCGGGCGCGUGAGAGGUACAUGGCCUUCUCUCCAUUUUCGGGGGAGAUCGCGUAGGGACGUAUACUAUUAUAGCGCACACGCUCUACGGGUGAGCGGGGGACAUUUUCGCCUCGUGCGAUAUUGUAUGCGCCUAUGCGGGAUUAGCUAGGUGGCGGGGUAAAGGCCCACCAAGGCGACGAUCGGUAGCUGGUCUGAGAGGAUGAUCAGCCGCACUGGAACUGAGACACGGUCCAGACUCCUACGGGAGGCAGCAGUAGGGAAUAUUGGACAAUGGGCGCAAGCCUGAUCCAGCCAUGCCGCGUGUGUGAAGAAGGCCCUCGGGUUGUAAAGCCCUUUUGUGGGGAAAGAAAAGCAUUCGGUUAAUACCCCGCUGUUCUGACGGUACCGGAAGAAUAAGCACCGGCUAACUUCGUG
rnacentral:rRNA from 1 species